UUAGGUUGGUGCAAAAGUAAUUGUGGUUUUUGAAAACAAUGGCAAAAGCUGCAAUUACUUUUGCACCAACCUAAUA
ensembl:miRNA